UGCCAGCAGCCGCGGUAAUACGGAGGGUGCAAGCGUUGUCCGGAAUCACUGGGCGUAAAGGGUGCGCAGGCGGUUGAAUAAGUCGGGUGUGAAAGCCCCGGGCUCAACCUGGGAAUGGCAUUCGAUACUGUCCAGCUAGAGUCUGGUAGAGGGAAGUGGAAUUUCCGGUGUAGCGGUGAAAUGCGUAGAUAUCGGAAGGAACACCAGUGGCGAAGGCGACUUCCUGGACCAAGACUGACGCUGAGGUGCGAAAGCGUGGGUAGCAAACAGGAUUAGAUACCCUGGUAGUCCACGCCGUAAACGAUGAGAACUAGCCGUUGGACCCAUUUAAGGGUUUAGUGGCGCAGCUAACGCAAUAAGUUCUCCGCCUGGGGAGUACGGCCGCAAGGCUAAAACUCAAAGGAAUUGACGGGGGCCCGCACAAGCGGUGGAGCAUGUGGUUUAACUCGAUGCAACGCGCAGAACCUUACC
rnacentral:rRNA from 1 species